rnacentral:piRNA from 1 species
UGAGGACAGCUCAGAUAGUGAGUGAUUCCUCU